rnacentral:rRNA from 1 species
UACGGGGGGGGCAAGCGUUGUUCGGAAUUACUGGGCGUAAAGGGCCAGUAGGCGGCCAACUAAGUCGGAUGUGAAAUCCCCAGGCUUAACCUGGGAACUGCAUCCGAUACUGGAUGGCUUGAAUUCGGGAGAGGGAUGCAGAAUUCCAGGUGUAGCGGUGAAAUGCGUAGAUAUCGGGAGGAACACCAGUGGCGAAGGCGACUACCUGGCCUGUUUCUUGACGCUGAGGCGCGAAAGCUAGGGGAGCAAACGGG